GGGUUGUGAGGUUAAGCGACUAAGCGUACACGGUGGAUGCCCUGGCAGUCAGAGGCGAUGAAGGACGUGCUAAUCUGCGAUAAGCGUCGGUAAGGUGAUAUGAACCGUUAUAACCGGCGAUUUCCGAAUGGGGAAACCCAGUGUGAUUCGUCACACUAUCAUUAACUGAAUCCAUAGGUUAAUGAGGCGAACCGGGGGAACUGAAACAUCUAAGUACCCCGAGGAAAAGAAAUCAACCGAGAUUCCCCCAGUAGCGGCGAGCGAACGGGGAGCAGCCCAGAGCCUGAAUCAGUGUGUGUGUUAGUGGAAGCGUCUGGAAAGGCGCGCGAUACAGGGUGACAGCCCCGUACACAAAAAUGCACAUGCUGUGAGCUCGAUGAGUAGGGCGGGACACGUGGUAUCCUGUCUGAAUAUGGGGGGACCAUCCUCCAAGGCUAAAUACUCCUGACUGACCGAUAGUGAACCAGUACCGUGAGGGAAAGGCGAAAAGAACCCCGGCGAGGGGAGUGAAAAAGAACCUGAAACCGUGUACGUACAAGCAGUGGGAGCACGCUUAGGCGUGUGACUGCGUACCUUUUGUAUAAUGGGUCAGCGACUUAUAUUCUGUAGCAAGGUUAACCGAAUAGGGGAGCCGAAGGGAAACCGAGUCUUAACUGGGCGUUAAGUUGCAGGGUAUAGACCCGAAACCCGGUGAUCUAGCCAUGGGCAGGUUGAAGGUUGGGUAACACUAACUGGAGGACCGAACCGACUAAUGUUGAAAAAUUAGCGGAUGACUUGUGGCUGGGGGUGAAAGGCCAAUCAAACCGGGAGAUAGCUGGUUCUCCCCGAAAGCUAUUUAGGUAGCGCCUCGUGAAUUCAUCUCCGGGGGUAGAGCACUGUUUCGGCAAGGGGGUCAUCCCGACUUACCAACCCGAUGCAAACUGCGAAUACCGGAGAAUGUUAUCACGGGAGACACACGGCGGGUGCUAACGUCCGUCGUGAAGAGGGAAACAACCCAGACCGCCAGCUAAGGUCCCAAAGUCAUGGUUAAGUGGGAAACGAUGUGGGAAGGCCCAGACAGCCAGGAUGUUGGCUUAGAAGCAGCCAUCAUUUAAAGAAAGCGUAAUAGCUCACUGGUCGAGUCGGCCUGCGCGGAAGAUGUAACGGGGCUAAACCAUGCACCGAAGCUGCGGCAGCGACGCUKAUGCGUUGUUGGGUAGGGGAGCGUUCUGUAAGCCUGCGAAGGUGUGCUGUGAGGCAUGCUGGAGGUAUCAGAAGUGCGAAUGCUGACAUAAGUAACGAUAAAGCGGGUGAAAAGCCCGCUCGCCGGAAGACCAAGGGUUCCUGUCCAACGUUAAUCGGGGCAGGGUGAGUCGACCCCUAAGGCGAGGCCGAAAGGCGUAGUCGAUGGGAAACAGGUUAAUAUUCCUGUACUUGGUGUUACUGCGAAGGGGGGACGGAGAAGGCUAUGUUGGCCGGGCGACGGUUGUCCCGGUUUAAGCGUGUAGGCUGGUUUUCCAGGCAAAUCCGGAAAAUCAAGGCUGAGGCGUGAUGACGAGGCACUACGGUGCUGAAGCAACAAAUGCCCUGCUUCCAGGAAAAGCCUCUAAGCAUCAGGUAACAUCAAAUCGUACCCCAAACCGACACAGGUGGUCAG
rnacentral:rRNA from 1 species